ACCUACUCCGCCCAUCCACCAGGAAGUGCUGCAGCAUAUUUUAUUCACUUCUAAACACGCGACUACCUGUCAUAGUUAUAAUCAUGUAGACAUUAAACUGUUCAUAUUUUAUACACUGUUGUUGCUAUGGUGAAUCAUUCUGACAGUCAGUGGACGAAGGAAGUUUAGGAUGUUUUCGUCAUGGUCUCCAAAACGACACGCAUGUUGAGACCAGGGACUUGAUUGCACCCAAGCGGUAAACUUUUCCUUUCAGUGACAAAAAUGGCAGAGCAGAGCAGCUCGACAGCUCCAGAUCUCCUGAAGCGUAACCUUGAUGAGAGGGAGGGAGAAGGAGAGACGACCGAAAAUGGCCCUAAACAAAUUCGUCCGGUGAUCGGUAUUAACUUCUGUGAAUACACGCCUCUGGUGUGGCGUGCAGCUGAGGUGAAGGCUGCUCGCGAGAGGGGUAUCAUCGGAUCUUUGGUCGGUUCGUUAGCGCGACAGCCCCGGCAGAACUGCAGGUUGGGGAGACCGUUGGAGUUGACGGAAGAAGAGGGACGUUUGCUGGUGGAGAUAGGCGAAGCUGUACGAAUCCCUCCCAUUGACCCACAGGUUGAGGCCGGAGAAGUGGACCGGGAGCGCGUGGACCAGUACCACGCAGAUCUCGAGGGAACCUUUGAGGAGCAGAAGGCCCUGGCGCUCGAGGACAGGAAGGCUUGCCUUCUGAGAGUUAUGAGCGAGAAACAAAAUGCAGCCCCCUCAGACAGCUCCCUCCUCUCCCGUCUGGACGACCUGCAGCGCAGCUUCUCCUUCCCUCGGGCGGCCAUGACAGUGCAGCUGUGCACCGCCUCCGCUGGGCUCCAGUACGGCCCGGAGGAGAGGGACUUCCUGUCCGCCUCCCCCUCGGUCCCCCGGGAACGAGGCUCGGAGACGAGGUUCCUGGUCUUCAGAGACCUGAGGCAACGAGGCUUCUGCCUCACCUCUGCCGGCAAGUUCGGAGGAGACUUCCUGGUGUAUCCUGGUGACCCUCUCUGUUUCCACGCCCAUUUCAUCGCCGUGUGCCUCGACCUGGAUGAGUGUCUGCCUGUGAGCGACGUCCUCACCGUGGCGCGGCUGGGCUCCAACGUGAAGAAAACGGUGCUGCUGUGUUCUCCGGCCGAGGAGGAGGUGCUGUACACGUCUCUGCAGUGGAGCGGAAUGAUCUAGAGGAGGAGGUGCUGUACACGUCUCUGCAGUGGAGCGGAAUGAUCUAGAGGAGGAGUGUCGCUCAAGACGUGUGUAUGGACUGCCAGCGUGUCUGACAUCGGACCUCAUGUCAGUGGCUGUGCUUGGACCAUCUCUCUCUCGUCACUGAGAGGAUGUGGUCAUUGCUGUGGUGUAGAUCCCCUGUCGGCCCACCAGGGGGCGAUAAAGCACUCACUGCAUCAGAAACGGACUUGUCCUGAAUGUUAGUGUGAUUCAAUCAUAAGGUGUUUACCUGUCUUAUCAUUUUCCCCUCUAUACUGAGGGACAUCAUUUAGCCUGAACUGGAGGAUCAACGCCAGUAAUUGAGCAGACUAGAUAAACACAUCUGUUAAAUACA